GAUGAACGCUGGCGGCGUGCCUAAUACAUGCAAGUCGAGCGAACAGAUGAGGAGCUUGCUCUUCUGACGUUAGCGGCGGACGGGUGAGUAACACGUGGAUAACCUACCUAUAAGACUGGGAUAACUUCGGGAAACCGGAGCUAAUACCGGAUAAUAUAUUGAACCGCAUGGUUCAAUAGUGAAAGACGGUUUUGCUGUCACUUAUAGAUGGAUCCGCGCCGCAUUAGCUAGUUGGUAAGGUAACGGCUUACCAAGGCGACGAUGCGUAGCCGACCUGAGAGGGUGAUCGGCCACACUGGAACUGAGACACGGUCCAGACUCCUACGGGAGGCAGCAGUAGGGAAUCUUCCGCAAUGGGCGAAAGCCUGACGGAGCAACGCCGCGUGAGUGAUGAAGGUCUUCGGAUCGUAAAACUCUGUUAUUAGGGAAGAACAAAUGUGUAAGUAACUAUGCACGUCUUGACGGUACCUAAUCAGAAAGCCACGGCUAACUACGUG
rnacentral:rRNA from 1 species